rnacentral:lncRNA from 1 species
GUAAAUGUAACUGGUGAUGAUCAUGGAUCCAGGAUGGGUCAUAGUACAAGCACAUGCACGUCAAUUGGUUUGAUCGUCUUCAACUCUUGACUCGAUUUUGAUCCCUUAGGUUCAAUUGUAAUCAACUCCUUGAUCCAUCUUCAAUCAACCUAUGAUCUCAAUCCGCGCAAGGCUUGCUUGUAGGAGGCAUACAUCGAUCAACCAUCGACGUGCAACAUACAUCACAGAUUACAUCCCAGAUAAAAUUCAAAAUAAAAGAAUAAUUACAACCCUUUUUCGAUGCGACACGCAGGUCUCUAAUACAUGAAUUUAAGAUGCUCACAGGCAUCUGGAAAAAUGAUUUACAUGUUAUCACAUAACAUCACAGAACAUUUCAGGCAUUGCAGAACAUUUCAGCACAUUCACAAAAGGGUCAUCCAUGAUCAUCACCAUUCGCAUCACAUGCAUAAUUUUAAUUUACAUAUCUGAAACUUAAUUGAUUACCUCAUCUCAUGAGUCGCUGAUCAUGCAAGGGAUGAUUCUUAAAUAAUUGUAAUCAUAUUAAU